GAUGAACGCUGGCGGCGUGCCUAAUACAUGCAAGUCGAGCGAACGGACGAGAAGCUUGCUUCUCUGAUGUUAGCGGCGGACGGGUGAGUAACACGUGGAUAACCUACCUAUAAGACUGGGAUAACUUCGGGAAACCGGAGCUAAUACCGGAUAAUAUUUUGAACCGCAUGGUUCAAAAGUGAAAGACGGUCUUGCUGUCACUUAUAGAUGGAUCCGCGCUGCAUUAGCUAGUUGGUAAGGUAACGGCUUACCAAGGCAACGAUGCAUAGCCGACCUGAGAGGGUGAUCGGCCACACUGGAACUGAGACACGGUCCAGACUCCUACGGGAGGCAACAGUAGGGAAUCUUCCGCAAUGGGCGAAAGCCUGACGGAGCAACGCCGCGUGAGUGAUGAAGGUCUUCGGAUCGUAAAACUCUGUUAUUAGGGAAGAACAUAUGUGUAAGUAACUGUGCACAUCUUGACGGUACCUAAUCAGAAAGCCACGGCUAACUACGUG
rnacentral:rRNA from 1 species